GCACACUGUACUUACUCCAUAUAUUUCACUGAUUCUCCUUUUUUCACUCCAUGAAAAUUUAGUGCUUGUGGGCGAUGAAUCUCUCAAAAUUUCUAGUUUUUUAAAAGGAAACACAGCCUGUACGUAUGUGUCUGUAAUAAGGUGUUACCUUACUUACCAUAUCCACUUCACCUGAACUUAAGGUAAAAUUUCGCAGUGAUACCAACCUUGUUCUAAGCUGUAAUUAUUCAUUGGAACACGGAGAACGUAUAUCAGAUAGAGAGAUUAAAUGGCAAAAACAAGUAGGAAAUACUUUUGAAGAUGUUGCGGUGUUUUCUCCUCCUGGCGGACAGGAAUCCUUAAUUCAUCCUGACAUGGCUACUGUUCUUGCAAAUAGGACAAAACUUAUCACAUCAAAUACUAGUGUAUUCUCCAGUGCCACAAUGAUAAUCCACGAUGUUGUCUGCAUGCAGUGACGAAGGAUUAUAUCAAUGUUGGAUAGAGUAUUUUGUCUACCCUGUGGAUAAACAGAAAGAAAGCUUCACUUUAGUUACUUUUGAAGCUGAAGCUAAGACACCGGUAGAUUUUGUUUUGGAACAUCAGAAAGAGUUGGAGGAGAAUCAGUCCAUACAUCUUAUUUGUGCUGCUGAUGUUGGAAAUCCUGCGGGAAACAUUAAGAUCUGGAAAGUCCCAGAGAAAACAAAGAUUCCAGAAAUCAUUUUCACUUCAAAUUUAUUGAACAAUAAGACAAAGAACUGUACCAC